rnacentral:lncRNA from 1 species
CUAGUUCAGUACCGUCUAACCUGAUUGGCUCUCCAGGGUUUCAGGAAGGAGACAUUCCAAGCCCUACGUGGGGAUGCUGGGUGUUGAAUCUGGGGCCUUCCUCAUGAAGAGCAUGUGCUGAGCCAGUCAGCUAUGGCCGUUCCCCUAGAGAUAAAACGCCUGGCCUCAGGUGGGUGCUCCUCUCUCCUUCCCAAGUGCUCCGACUGGCCCAUGAACUUGAGACAGCUGGUUACCAUAUCGGCCUGUGAUAUGCUGUCAUGUCCUAUUUGCCGGCUUGCUCCCUUUCGCUGCCACCGUUGCUGGAGUCAGGCUGGUCUUUUCCAGGUCAAAGAGGAUGCGUACAGUACAAAGCUGGGGGCUGGGAGCGGGGAGGAUGGAAGGGAUUCAGGGAAACAUUGGGUUUUGCUUGCAUUUCAAUGAGAAAUGGUUUCUCUCUGGCUGCCAGUUAGCUAAUAGGCUAAGUUCAAGAUGCUAGUUCUAGUGGAGAAAACCCUAUAUAGCUUGGGACCAGCAUGCCUGAAAGGUUGUCUAAGCUCCUGCACUUCUUACCAGGAAGUCCAUUUGAAACAAUAUUGGAUUUUAGUGUUGUGGUGUCUGCCCCUUGCAAUGCCUUCUCUUUAAAUAUUAGACUGGCACAGCCUCUGUUGUCUUCUUGGCAUCUACUGGAGUAGGAUUCCAACUCCCAUCAGCUCCAGCCAGCAGGGCUAUUGGUCAGGAAUGAUGGGACUUGAAGUUCAGCAACAGAUCCCCUAGCCCGGCAUUUGAGUGAUAGCUCUGAGGCUAGGUAACAAUGGCCUGUUUUGGGUGCCUCUGUAAGCCUGUGAGCAGCCUGUGAUCUGCUAGGGGAAAUGGGGCACUGCCCAACCAACCUCAGCCUGCCUUCCUCCAGACCCUGACCUGCCUGCCUUCUUUUAUUCAUACUCUUAUUGAUUAAUUACAUUUAAACCCCACCUUUUUCUCUAAGGAGCUUGAAGCAGCAUACAUGAUUCUUCUCUUCUCGUUUAAUGCCCAGAACAACCCUGCGGUCAGGCAGAGAGGCAAUGGCUCAGGAACGCCCAGUAAGCUUCACGGCCAAGAGGGAAUUUGAACCCUGUCCUCCCAGGUCUUAGACCAACACUCUAACCCAGGGGUCAGCAAACUUAUUCAGCAGGGGGCCGGUCCACUGUCCCUCAGACCUUGUGUGGGGCCGGACUAUAUUUUUUUUUGGGGGGGGGCGGUGAACGAAUUCCUAUGCCCCACAAAUAACCCAGAAAUGCAUUUUAAAUAAAAGGGCACAUUCUACUCAUGUAAAAACACGCUGAUUCCUGGAUCAUCCACAGGCCAGAUUUAGAAGGCAAUUUGGCCGGAUUUGGCCCCCGGACCUUAGUUUCCCUACCCAUGCUCUAACCACUAUGCUGCACUGACUCAGCAGUGUGGCUUACCUACAUCCAGCUCCACCUGUUAUUGGCUCUGGCUCCCACUAUUGUGGUGGUCCCUGUUUUCUGCCUUACAAGUUCCAUCGGGCACCUGCCACCUGCUUCUCCUUACAGGUCCUCCCCAACACCCUGCCCAGUUGGCACUUGUCCCAAACAGAAGCCCAGCCUCAGGCAGCGCAGGGAGUGAGCGUGACUCUGUUUACCCCUGUUAGCUAUGGGAAUCCCUUCAACCUCUCCUUGCAUAAUUCAGGCACUGUUUUUUUUUUGAUGCUCUACAUUUUAUUAAACAUUUUUUUCCGCAUUAUAUUUUAUAGCCCUCUCAGGAAGAUCGUAACACUACAGAGAAAUUUUUACAUAGGCAGUAAGGAAUCAAUCCAGCUUACAAUCACAAUAUGCAGAACAUCGUGGUGAGGCAGUCUUCCCUGAAUAACUGCACAAUGAAGUUAGCAAAUAUGAGGAUGGAAAAGAAGAACGGGGGGGGGGGGGAGGCAUGAGGAAGCACACACAAAUUAAAGGGAAAUUGUAAUUCUGCCAAUUUUUAUGGCCUGAGCAUUUCAUCCCUUGAUUUCUCCCAUAGAAAAAAGUUGAAAGAUGUUGACACAGUUUGCAUGACGGCUGUGCAGGGGGGAAGUAAAUUCCACACUAAGGAUCGUUAGGAGAAGGAUCAAAAAUAUAAAUGCCAAUAUUGAAACACCUGUUAGUAAAUCUGAUGAGCAACCACACUUGGAAUACUGCAUGCAGGUCUGGUCACCCUCAUCUUUAAAAAAAAAGAUAUUGUAGAGUUGGGAGCCAGUGUGUUGUAGUGGUUAGAGUGCUGCGCUGUGAUUUGGGAGACUGGGAUUCAGUCUCCCUCUUCUGCCAACUCCAUCUGGCCUAGGGGGCGGGGCCUGCACUCACCGUCACAGCAUAAGAGGCCUGAGAGAGGCCUCCGGGACACGGCUGCUGCUGCUGCUUGUGUGAGUGUUGGGAAGACUGCUCCCUCCUCUGCCAACUCCAUCCAGCCUAGGGGGCGGGGCCUGCACUACCACUACAGUUUAGAGGCCUGAGCAGCUACCGGCAGCAAUGGACAAAAUGGUUUUAAAUGUUUUAAUUGUUUUUAAUUUGCAGCACCUUAAAUGGCUGUUGUUGUUUUUUAUAAUAUUAUAUUAUUUUACUAUUUUAUUUUUGCUUGGGGAGGGAUAAGCAUUUAGUCAGCGCUAUUGUUUCUUGUUUUAUUUUGUUAUGUUUUGUUUUAUUAUUAUUAUUAUUAUUAUUCUGUUAAAUUAUUAUAGAAUUUGUAUUUUGCUUUUUAAGGGGUGGGGUCAGGGCUGCCUGGG